UUGCAGUCAUAUCACGUUGAAACACCGGUUUUCGUAUGAUCACUGAAGUUAAGCAAUGUCGAACCUGUUCAGUACCUAGUUGGGUGACCGCUUGGAAAUACUAGGUGCUGUAAG